rnacentral:rRNA from 1 species
CCUACGGGAGGCAGCAGUGGGGAAUAUUGCACAAUGGGGGAAACCCUGAUGCAGCGACGCCGCGUGAGUGAAGAAGUAAUUCGUUAUGGAAAGCUCUAUCAGCAGGGAAGAAAAUGACGGUACCUGAGUAAGAAGCCCCGGCUAACUACGUGCCAGCAGCCGCGGUAAUACGUAGGGGGCAAGCGUUAUCCGGAUUUCCUGGGUGUAAAGGGAGCGUAGACGGCAGUGCAAGUCUGGAGUGAAAGGCGGGGGCUCAACCCCCGGAUUGCUCUGGAAACUGUACGGCUGGAGUGCAGGAGAGGUAAGUGGAAUGCCUGGUGUAGCGGUGAAAUGCGUAGAUAUUAGGAGGAACACCAGUGGCGAAGGCGGCUUACUGGACUGUAACUGACGUUGAGGCUCGAAAGCGUGGGGAGCAAACAGGAUUAGAUACCCCAGUAGUC